AUUGAACGCUGGCGGCAGGCCUAACACAUGCAAGUCGAACGAGUGGCGGACGGGUGAGUAAUGUCUGGGAAACUGCCUGAUGGAGGGGGAUAACUACUGGAAACGGUAGCUAAUACCGCACACCAUAGGAUGUGCCCAGAUGGGAUGAGCUUGUAGGUGGGGUAAAGCCUCCCCGAGGCGACGAUCCCUAGCUGGUCUGAGAGGAUGACCGGCCAUACUGGAACUUAGACACGGUCCAGACUCCUACGGGAGUCAGCAGGGGGGAAUAUUGCACAAUGGGCGCAAGCCUGAUGCAGCCAUGCCGCGUGUAUGAAGAGGGCCUUCGGGUUGUAAAGUUCUUUCAGCGGGGAGGCGUUACCCGCAGAAGAAGCACCGGCUAACUCCGUGCCAGCAGCCGCGGUAAUAC
rnacentral:rRNA from 1 species